rnacentral:lncRNA from 1 species
UUUAUGAUGUCUUUAUAUGAAAAAUAUUUAUAAAAAAUUAUGAAGAUAAAUAAUGCUAAUUUGAAGAAAAUAAAAAUAUGAAAAUAAUAAUAAUCUACCACUAUAUAUUAUCACAAGUUAUAUAGAGAUGGGUAAUAAUGCUAAUUAUUAAAUUUUAUUUAGGAAAUGAUGAAAAUUAAUUAGUGAGAUAUGAAUAUUUUGGAGAAUAUCUUUUAAUGGUACCAUUAAAACUUUUUAUAUUAAGCAAAAAAGGUAAAAAAAAUUAGUUCAAUAACUUAAUAACUUAAUGGCUGAAAUUUUUCAUUAAGUUGAAAAAAUAAAUAGAUUUAAUGACUUAAUUGAUUAAAAUUAAGUCAAUUAAGCCAAGUAAAAAAAGCAAAUGACCGCUAAGUCUCUGAAAUGCAAAAAAAAAAAAACACAAAAUUCGUGGGAGGAGCAUUUCAUUGUUGGAUUGGGAACAAAUGGAUUUAAAAAAUGAGAGAAUAAAAGUUGAAUACAAUUACCAAAAAGAUCAUAAAGCCAUCAUUUUUAAGAACAUGUAAAAUGGUAAACAAAAGUUGUUGAAUAAAAGUUGGAAUGUCCUAGAAUCAAUAGACUUGGAAGAAGAAUGUAAACAAAUUCUUGUGCUUGGGUUGUAUGUUAUCCAAUAGAACACGAUGGCAUGUCAAGAACAACCUUCACAAACCAUCUUGUAUAUUGUUUCUGUUUAAUGACUGUUUUUCCUUUCCUUUUCUCGAAACAUAUGCUUAAUGACUUCUUAAGCUGAAUAACCCGUUUCAGCUUUUAAUUGGACUAAAAUCCGUCUGAACCUUUUACCCUUAAAUUUAUGAGCAUAAUUGCGAACGCAGGGAAGUGGAUGUGGUGGGGGUGUUUCGCUACAAGAACACCUGGCCACUGUGUCUGGAGUUCCUUAGAAGCGGAAAGAUUGAUGUAAAGCCCCUUAUCACGCACAGGUUUGGUUUCUCCCAGAAAGAAGUGGAAGAGGCCUUUGAAACAAGUGCUCGUGGUGGUACUGCAAUCAAGGUCAUGUUUAAUCUGUAAGAUACAAUGUACUGCAAUCAAGGUCAUGUUUAAUCUGUAAAAUACAACGGCCAUGUAAACGUUUGGGCAAAAGAUUAAAUAAAAUGGAAUUGUCGCCGUGUAAUAUGAACCAAAGUUGAGCUUAUUAAUUUAUUUCUCAUCACCUUGCAGCCGCCGGCGUCAGAGUAACCGUCAUCUCGCUCUUGGCUAAUCCUAUCAGGCAAACUUUGCCUCCUGGACAAGUGGCAUUCAAAGCCGUUGACAUGGUUUUGUCAAACCCAACACAAUCAAAGCUCACAUCAAUGUCUGAACCCAUUGCAUUUUGUAUCUUCCCCACUUCUGUAUCAACGUCCUGCCAAUGUUUUUGCACAGCUUCAAGGCCUAGAAAAAAUUGGGAAAGUGAAAACAGAGUGAUAAUCAUCUAUAUCUGACAAUUAACCUCGAUAUCUGUUGAGAUUUAACUGUUUCAUCCGCGCCAAGAUUCCUCGCAAUAAAUAGACGCUGAACAUCAACAUCAGUGAUGACAAUUCUGGGGGCACCAAAUGCUCGAGCAGCUAACAGGGUAACAAGGCCUAUCGGUCCUGAUCCCAAGAUCAAUACAUUGGUUUCAGGUCCAACGUUUGCACAUUGCUCCUUCCUCCAAGCUCAUAUUUAUCAGGUAACUUGUAACAUAACUUUGCUGGAUGCACAACCUAGUUGCGGGAAAAAGAAAAUGUCUCCGUUAUUUACAAUUCUUAUGUACAUAGACCGCAUGUGAAAUUAAAAAAAUUCUAGUUUGGGAAGCUGAAGACAUCUGAUCAUUGACCUUAUGGGCAAGAGAGCCGUUGGUUGGAGGAGAUCCAAAGAAUCUCAUUUCAGGACAAAGAUUAUAGCUACCAGCUUUGCAGAGACUGCAGUGUUCGCAACUAAUACCAGGUUCUAGAGCCACACGAUCACCCACCUCAAGGGACUUAACUUCACUGCCAACUUCUUCUAUGAUCCCAGCACACUCAUGUCCAAUUACCAUAGGUUUUUUCACAAUAAAAUUGGCACAUCUCAUAGUCUGAUCAUAAACAACAUUUUGCAUACAAUAAGCAGUGACAGCCUUUGGCAUAUUAUACAGUCAUCAAGAUUUUGCAUAGAGACAGACAGAAAGCUUUUUUCACCUUGAAGUGAUGAACAUCACUUCCACAUAUUCCAAGAGCCUUCAUUCGUACUUUCACAUCUUGAGGACCUAAAAAUUACACAAUUUUUUAUUUUUGGGCAUGGCACGGCAUGACAAGUGAUCUGAUUAAAUUCACAGUUGUGCGUAUAGAAUAACGAGAAGAAGAUUAAAAUAUAAUACCUAGGGUAGGCAAAUGAUAUGGCUGAAUUUUCAGAGUUUUGAUUCCAAGCAGCCAUAUUCUGAUUCUCGUCUCCUUCGUUAUCUCUGAUUGCCUUAACUUCACCAUCAUCACCCUUCUUAUCGGCCAUUUCAAUGUUUCCCUUUUUUUCCUUUCCUCUCGUCCUCUAUUUACACAGUGUUAUUGUGUCUCGUAUUAUCCCCUGGAAGUGAAGCUGACUAGAUCCUAGUUAAAAUUGCCUCCUUUUUCUUUUCUUUUUCCCAUCUCAUUUCCCUUGUGCCUGCCAAACAAACUUCUUAAUUAUUAUAGUCACCUUUUUGUACAGGUAUUCCCUUCCCUCCCAUUAUUAAGUUAUUUAAAUUAUAUGAAUUUUAAAAUAUUAUUUCAUGUGACCAUAUUCAUUAAAAGAAGUCAUGAAAAUCAAAUUAUUGGCUUUCUUUUAGUCCAUAGUACCAUACAAUUCUUUCAUACCAUUUUGCAAAAUUAGCCACCUCCCACAUACAUGUAGUUGAUUUUGAUUCCUUUAUGAAGAUACAAUUAUUGCACAGUUUGGAUUUUGGGGUCCAUAAAUUCUGAAAAAAACAAAAUUAACAAACAACCAACGGUUCUGAAACCAAUAAAUUCUCUCCACGUAAGCACGUUAUCCUGUUGAAAAAGAAACCAUAAUCUCUAUUAGAUAGUGUACAGAGUGAAGUCUCUGCUGUGCACUUGUGUUUUUGAAGGGUGAAAAGCAAAUAUGGGCAAGGGAGGGAUGUCACAAGGAGAAAAGGAAGAUGGAGAAGAAGUUAACAUGGCAGCUUGGCUUAUGGGUGUCAACACUCUCAAGAUUCAGCCUUUGGAGCUUCCUUCUCUGGGUAUUUUUAUCUUUCUUUCAUCUCUGUCUUGUAUCUUAGAAGUGUUAUGGAAUUUGUUUAUUGGUUGAAGAUAUGAACUUUGUUAGGUUGAUAUAUAUCUAAAGAGAGAUCUUUGGUUGAAAAACAAUGAAAACACAUCUUCCAAUACAGCUUAUUUCAUACCUUUUACAAUUGAAUUAACUAUCACUCACAAUUAAUGUAUUUCAAACUGAUUGUUUUAACAUCUUUGUUCGUUAUUUGUAAACUGUAGGACCUUAUGAUGUUUUGGUCAGGAUGAAAGCCGUUGGUGUUUGUGGAAGUGAUGUGCAUUUUCUCAAGGUAUAUUUGUUAAUCCCUCUUUAACUUCCCUUAAAUUAUUAUUAUUAUUAUUAUUAUGGCAAUUACUCUGUCAAAUUGCUGAGAAAUGUUAAUAACGGAAUCUUUUCACUUUAUGUUAUUCAAAAUAAUACUUGAAUGUUGAAUGUUUGUGUAUUUUCGCAGACCUUGAGGUGUGCCGAUUCUGUUGUGAAAGAGCCUAUGGUGAUUGGGCACGAGUGUGCUGGGGUCAUAGAGAAGGUGGGAAGCGAGGUGAAGACUUUGGUGCCCGGUGACCGUGUGGCCCUGGAACCAGCGAUCAGCUGCUGGCAAUGUGAUUACUGCAAAGGAGGUCGAUACAAUUUGUGUCCAGAGUCGAAAGGUCUUGGAAGUCCGCCAGUUCAUGGUUGUCUGGCUAAUCAGGUUGAUUGAAAAUUUACAUUUUGAACUAAGUUCUAUAGGACUAUGAGAUGAGAAAUAUGGUAGACUGACUUUAACACAGUUUAUGCCCUUGUAAAUUUCAGUAAUGAUAUACUUACUACGGUUAGUAUAUACCAUCACUACAGAACAAAAAAAUUUGAUUACAAGAUAAAAGAAAAUUCCACUGUAAGACAAUUUUUUUUUUUUUUUUGCUUUCUCUUACAGAUUUUGUACUAAUAAUUAUACAUACAUUAUUAUUCUAUAAAUUUUACUGUUUGAGAUUUUUUAGUGUAUUAGAUUAUUACUACAAUAUGAUCUAUGCCCUUGUGAAUUCUGUUGUUAAAUAGUGGUGUCACUUUACUUGUUCUUCCAAAAACAUACUGGUUACUGUCAAUUGUGUAGUUCCCAUUUGAUCUUCUGUUCCCUCUUGUCAUAUAUUUUUUAUCUGGCAAUGUUUGUUGAUUCCUUUUAUUUGAAAUGAAAUUGGCUGCUAUCAAAAUUGAUCGGCUGCUUGACACAAUGACUAAGAUGCAUUUCUUCUCUAUAAUAGCUGGUGCAUCCUGCAGACCUAUGUUUUAAGCUGCCCGACAAUGUCAGCCUGGAGGAAGGGGCUAUGUGUGAGCCCUUGAGUGUUGGUCUUCAUGCCUGCCGCCGUGCCAAUAUCGGUCCUGAGACAAAUGUGCUUAUCAUGGGAUCAGGGCCCAUAGGACUUGUCACAAUGCUAGCAGCUCGUGCUUUUGGAGCUCCUAGAAUUGUCAUUGUGGAUGUGGAUGACUAUCGUUUAUCUGUUGCAAAGGAAAUUGGUGCAGAUAAUAUUGUUAAAGUUUCAACAAAUUUGCAGGUAUAUUACUGCUCAUUGCCCAGCAGAAGAGUUUAGAAAAGUAAAAGACAUCUCAAAAUCUUCAUGCUCGCAAUCCUUCCCUUUCUCUUAAUCAUCAUAACAACAUGUUCUGUUCAACCAACUCUGUUGCAUUAAGACCUUGUUCCAACUUCCUCAGUUCAUUUUUGUUCUCAGUACCUUUUUGUUUUAUGUUUGAAAGUUGACCACUCUAAUCUGCACUAUUCUUGUUAUCAGAGUAGAGGUGAGCUUGAGCUUUGGUUCGUUUGAAAAUUGUUCAUGUGCUCCUCACGCUUGUUUUUUCUGCUUGAAUAAACCGCUAUGAGUCUUGAGUAUUUUGCAGGACAUAGCUGAAGAAGUGGAAAAGAUACAGAAAGCCAUGGGGACAGGAAUAGAUGUGAGCUUUGAUUGUGCAGGCUUUAACAAAACCAUGUCAACAGCACUGAGUGCCACUCGUGCAGGUGGUAAAGUAUGCCUUGUGGGGAUGGGUCAUCAUGAAAUGACUGUCCCACUCACUCCGGCUGCUGCAAGGUACUUGAUUUACGGUUUUCUUUUUCAUUCUUUUUUUAUUGUUUUGGGCUACUCUGUUAUUUAGUUUUAAGUUUCUAAUUGGAUUAAGCAAAUUUACUUUAAGGUGGCGUUUAUUUUUUUGUCUCAAAUUUGAAUAAAUUUGAAUUAGUUUGAAUUCUUAAUAUAACUGAAUAUUUGAAUCUUAAUGAUAUAUUUGUUUUCCUUUUUUGUUUGAAUCGAUAAAAAUAAAUUUGAAGUUUUUUUUUACCUGAAAAAUGUAAAAACUAAUAUUUUUACAUUUAUUCCCUUACAAAUUAUAAAUGUUAAACAAAUAAUAAACAUCUCAAAGAAUAUAAAGAAAAUAAUAUAUUAUCAUAACAUAAAUCAUAUUCAAUUGAAUACAACUCUUUAAUAUUCUAUAUUAUAUAUAUUAAUCAAUUUUAUUAUAGUUUAUGAUGUUUUUAUAUGAAAAAUAUUUAUAAAAAAUUAUGAAGAUAAAUAAUGCUAGUUUGAAGAAAAUAAAAAGAUAAAAAUAAUAAUAAUCUACUACUAUAUAUUAUCACAAGUUAUACAGAGAUGGGUAAUAAUGCUAAUUAUUAAAUUUUAUUCAGGUAAGAAUGAAAAUUAAUUAAUUAAAUAUGGAUAUUUUAGAGAAUAUCUUUCAAUGAUUUAUUAAGACUUUUUAAAUUAAGCAAAAAAUUUAAAAAAAAUUAGCUUAAUAACUUAAUGAGUUAAUUGAUUAAAAUUAAGUAAAUUAAGUCAAGCCAAAAAAGCAAAUGAUUCGUAAGUCUCUAAAAUGCAAAUAAAAAAAUAACACAAAAAUUGGUAGGCAGGGGCAUUUCAUUGUUGGAUUGGGAACAAAUGGAUUUAAGAAAUGAGAGAAUUAAGGAUACCCGGAAAGAGCAUAAAGCCAUCAUUUUUAAGAACAUGUAAAAUGGUAAACAAAAGUUGUUGAAUAAAAGUUGGAAUGUCCUAGAAUCAAUAGACUUGGAAGAAGAAUGUAAACAAAUUCUUGUGCUUGGGUUGUAUGUUAUCCAAUAGAACAUGAUGGCAUGUCAAGAACAACUUUCACAAACCAUCUUGUAUAUUAUUUCUGUUUAAUGACUUUUUUUUUCUUUCCUUUUCUCGAAACAUAUGUUUAAUGACAUCUUAAGCUGAAAAACACGUUUCAGCCUUUAAUUGGACUAAAAUCCGUCUGAACCUUUUACCCUUAAAUUUAUGAGCAUAAUUGUGAAUGCAGGGAGGUGGAUGUGGUGGGGGUGUUUCGCUACAAGAACACCUGGCCACUGUGUCUGGAGUUCCUUAGAAGCGGAAAGAUUGAUGUAAAGCCCCUUGUCACGCACAGGUUUGGUUUCUCCCAGAAAGAAGUGGAAGAGGCCUUUGAAACAAGUGCUCGUGGUGGUACUGCGAUCAAGGUCAUGUUUAAUC